GCCCAAGUGGAUGGUAGCGCGGCCCUCCUCAGGCAAAGGUUACACGUUCGAAUCGUGUCGGGUGCACCA
rnacentral:tRNA from 1 species